CGCUGAAAGCAUCUAAGUGAGAAACUAACCUCGAGAUGAGAUUUCCCAUUCGUCAGAAGUAAGUCCCCUGAGAGACGAUCAGGUAGAUAGGCUAGAAGUGGAAGUGUAGUGAUGCAUGGAGCGGACUAGUACUAAUAGGUCGAGGACUUAACCAAG
rnacentral:rRNA from 1 species